rnacentral:rRNA from 1 species
AACCAGCACCUCGAGUGGUCAGGAGGUUUAUUGGGCCUAAAGCAUCCGUAGCCGGUUGUUUAAGUUUUCGGUUAAAUCUAUGCGCUUAACGUAUAGGCUGCCGAAAAUACUGGACAGCUAGGGAGUGGGAGAGGUACACGGUACUCAAUAGGAAGGGGUAAAAUCCUUUGAUCUGUUGAUGACCACCUGUGGCGAAGGCGGUGUACCAGAACACGUUCGACGGUGAGGGAUGAAAGCUGGGGGAGCAAACCGGAUUAGAAACCCCGGUAGU